GACGAACGCUGGCGGCGCGCUUAACACAUGCAAGUCGAGCGAGAACCAGACCUUCGGGUCUGGGGAAAGCGGCGAACGGGUGAGUAACACGUGGGUAACCCACCCUUGGCACUGGGAUAGCCCGGGGAAACCCGGAUUAAUACCGGAUGGCCCAACAGCUCUUCGGGGCGGUUGGAAAAGGUAGCUUCGGCCUCCGGCCAAGGACGGGCCCGCGGCGGAUUAGCUUGUUGGUGGGGUAACGGCCCACCAAGGCGACGAUCCGUAGCUGGUCUGAGAGGACGAUCAGCCACACUGGGACUGAGACACGGCCCAGACUCCUACGGGAGGCAGCAGUGGGGAAUCUUGCGCAAUGGGCGAAAGCCUGACGCAGCGACGCCGCGUGGGGGAAGAAGGCUUUCGGGUUGUAAACCCCUUUCAGGAGGGACGAAGCCACUCGGGUGAAUAGCCCAGAGGGUGACGGUACCUCCAGAAGAAGCCCCGGCUAACUACGUGCCAGCAGCCGCAGUAA
rnacentral:rRNA from 1 species